rnacentral:lncRNA from 1 species
UUUGUGGGAUGGUUCGUGGGGCGGUUCGAGGGACGUGAAGACGUUCCACUACAUCAAUCGCGUCUCUUAACGCUUCCUGAUGUGCGAUCUACAAGGGUACGUAGAUCCAAAUCUCCUCUCGUAGAUGGACAUCACCAUGAUAGGUCUUCGUGUGCGUAGGAAAAUCUUUGUUUCCCAUGCAACGUUCCCCAACACAAUAGGGUAAAUACAAAAGGUUACAUCGCUACAUAUAUAGUACUCUAACACCAAUGACUCGGCUUCCAACAACGAUGUGGUAAUCCCCCUUCCGUGCUUGUCACUACAUCCCCCACCAGCUGGUGAGUCAACCACAUCUUUGAUGUGUUUUAUUUAUGGUGGUAUCUACCUUUGCUAUGUGUACUA